GUAGGAAUGGUUUAGUGGUAUAAUUCUUGCUUUGGGUUCUAAACACAAAUUGUAAGAGGUCCUGGGUUCAAUUCCCAGUUCAGCCC